rnacentral:rRNA from 1 species
AAAUUGAAGAGUUUGAUCAUGGCUCAGAUUGAACGCUGGCGGCAGGCCUAACACAUGCAAGUCGAGCGGUAGCACAGAGAGCUUGCUCUCGGGUGACGAGCGGCGGACGGGUGAGUAAUGUCUGGGAAACUGCCUGAUGGAGGGGGAUAACUACUGGAAACGGUAGCUAAUACCGCAUAACGUCGCAAGACCAAAGUGGGGGACCUUCGGGCCUCAUGCCAUCAGAUGUGCCCAGAUGGGAUUAGCUAGUAGGUGGGGUAAUGGCUCACCUAGGCGACGAUCCCUAGCUGGUCUGAGAGGAUGACCAGCCACACUGGAACUGAGACACGGUCCAGACUCCUACGGGAGGCAGCAGUGGGGAAUAUUGCACAAUGGGCGCAAGCCUGAUGCAGCCAUGCCGCGUGUGUGAAGAAGGCCUUCGGGUUGUAAAGCACUUUCAGCGGGGAGGAAGGCGAUAAGGUUAAUAACCUUGUCGAUUGACGUUACCCGCAGAAGAAGCACCGGCUAACUCCGUGCCAGCAGCCGCGGUAAUACGGAGGGUGCAAGCGUUAAUCGGAAUUACUGGGCGUAAAGCGCACGCAGGCGGUCUGUCAAGUCGGAUGUGAAAUCCCCGGGCUCAACCUGGGAACUGCAUUCGAAACUGGCAGGCUAGAGUCUUGUAGAGGGGGGUAGAAUUCCAGGUGUAGCGGUGAAAUGCGUAGAGAUCUGGAGGAAUACCGGUGGCGAAGGCGGCCCCCUGGACAAAGACUGACGCUCAGGUGCGAAAGCGUGGGGAGCAAACAGGAUUAGAUACCCUGGUAGUCCACGCCGUAAACGAUGUCGAUUUGGAGGUUGUGCCCUUGAGGCGUGGCUUCCGGAGCUAACGCGUUAAAUCGACCGCCUGGGGAGUACGGCCGCAAGGUUAAAACUCAAAUGAAUUGACGGGGGCCCGCACAAGCGGUGGAGCAUGUGGUUUAAUUCGAUGCAACGCGAAGAACCUUACCUGGUCUUGACAUCCACAGAACUUUCCAGAGAUGGAUUGGUGCCUUCGGGAACUGUGAGACAGGUGCUGCAUGGCUGUCGUCAGCUCGUGUUGUGAAAUGUUGGGUUAAGUCCCGCAACGAGCGCAACCCUUAUCCUUUGUUGCCAGCGGUUCGGCCGGGAACUCAAAGGAGACUGCCAGUGAUAAACUGGAGGAAGGUGGGGAUGACGUCAAGUCAUCAUGGCCCUUACGACCAGGGCUACACACGUGCUACAAUGGCAUAUACAAAGAGAAGCGACCUCGCGAGAGCAAGCGGACCUCAUAAAGUAUGUCGUAGUCCGGAUUGGAGUCUGCAACUCGACUCCAUGAAGUCGGAAUCGCUAGUAAUCGUAGAUCAGAAUGCUACGGUGAAUACGUUCCCGGGCCUUGUACACACCGCCCGUCACACCAUGGGAGUGGGUUGCAAAAGAAGUAGGUAGCUUAACCUUAGGGAGGGCGCUUACCACUUUGUGAUUCAUGACUGGGGUGAAGUCGUAACAAGGUAACCGUAGGGGAACCUGCGGUUGGAUCACCUCCUUA